rnacentral:rRNA from 1 species
AUUGAACGCUGGCGGCGUGCUUAACACAUGCAAGUCGAUCGGUAACGCGGGGGCAACCCUGGCGACGAGAGGCGGACGGGUGAGGAACGCUUGGGAAUCUGCCUAUCAGCGGGGGACAACACGGGGAAACUCGUGCUAAUACCGCAUACGCUCUACGGAGGAAAGCCGGGGACCGCAAGGCCUGGCACUGAUAGAUGAGCCCAAGCCGGAUUAGCUAGUUGGCGGGGUAACGGCCCACCAAGGCGACGACCCGUAGCUUGUCUGAGAGGACGAUCAGCCACACUUGGACUGAGACACCGGCCAGACUCCUACGGGAGGCAGGAGUGGGGGAUAUUGCACCAUGGGCGGCAGCCUUAUUCCGGCAUGCCGGGUGUAUGAAGAAGGCCUUCGGGUUGUAAAGUACUUUCAGCGGGGAGGAAGGGAGUAAAGUUACUACCUUUGCUCAUUGACGUUACCCGCAGAAGAAGCACCGGCUAACUCCGUGCCAGCCGCCGCCGUAAGAC